rnacentral:rRNA from 1 species
UGGAGACCCGACUGGAAAAAGGAGUGAAACGAGCGAGCAGGAUAGAGGAAAAUUAUGAAGAAAUCGGCCCGUAAUAUGGGUUGAAACGAGCGGGCCAGAAACAGGAUUGGAAUUAGAGCUUGAACAAACGGAGGCGCGAUAACCAACACAAGGCGGAGAGUAUCAGUAACACGUAGUCAACCUAACCUAUGGACGUGGAUAACCUCGGGAAACUGAGAAUAAACCGCGAUAGAUCAUUAUGCCUGGAAUGGCUUAUGGUUUAAACAAUUUAUUGCCGUAGGAUGGGACUGCGGCCUAUCAGCUUGUUGGUGAGGUAAUGGCCCACCAAGGCUAUAACAGGUACGGGCUCUGAGAGGAGAAGCCCGGAGAUGGGUACUGAGACACGGACCCAGGCCCUAUGGGGCGCAGCAGGCGAGAAACCUUAGCAAUGUGCGAAAGCACGACUAGGUUAAUCCGAGUGAUUCCUGUUGAAGGAAUCUUUUGUCAGUCGUAAAACCACAGAUGAAUAAGGGGUGGGCAAGUCUGGUGUCAGCCGCCGCGGUAAUACCAGCACCUCGAGUGGUCAGGAGGUUUAUUGGGCCUAAAGCAUCCGUAGCCGGUUCUGCAAGUCUUCCGUUAAAUCCAGCUGCUCAACAGAUGGGCUGCCGGAGAUACUACAAAGCUAGGGAGCGGGAGAGGCAGACGGUAUUCGGUGGGUAGGGGUAAAAUCCACUGAUCCAUCGAGGACCACCAGUGGCGAAGGCGGUCUGCCAGAACGCGUUCGACGGUGAGGGAUGAAAGCUGGGGGAGCAAACCGGAUUAGAUACCCGGGUAGUCCCAGCUGUAAACGAUGCAAACUCGGUGAUGCAUUGGCUUAUGGCCAAUGCAGUGCCGCAGGGAAGCCGUUAAGUUCCCAAAAGGGAAGUACGGACGCAAGUCUGAAACUUAAGCCCUAAAAGAG